rnacentral:rRNA from 1 species
AUUGAACGCUGGCGGCAGGCCUAACACAUGCAAGUCGAACGAGUGGCGGACGGGUGAGUAAUUUCUGGGAAACUGCCCGAUGGAGGGGGAUAACUACUGGAAACAGUAGCUAAUACCGCAUACCAUCGGAUUUGCCCAGAUGGGUUGAGCUAGUAGGUGAGGUAACGGCUCACCUAGGCGACGAUCCCUAGCUGUUCUGAGAGGAUGACCAGCCACAAUGGAACUGAGACACGGGCCAGACUCCAAGGGGAGGCAGAAGUGGGGAAUAUUGCACAAUGGGCGGAGGCCUGAUGCAGCCAAGCCGCGUGUAUGAAGAAGGCCUUCGGGUUGUAAAGUACUUUCAGCGAGGAGGCGUUACUCGCAGAAGAAGCACCGGCUAACUCCGUGCCAGCAGCCGCGGUAAUAC